UUUGACCUCCACUGGCUCAGGAUUAACGCUGGCGGCGUGCAUAACACAUGCAAGUCGAACGAUGAAACUUCAAAGAUCCCUUCGGGGUGAAUUGAAAUGGAUUAGUGGCGAACGGGUGAGUAACGCGUGAGUAACCUGCCUUACACAAGGGGAUAGCCUUUGGAAACGAAGAAUAAUACCCUAUAAAACCAUAAAAGCACAUGCUAGAAUGGUCAAAGUGUAGCGGUGUAAGAUGGNCUNGCGUCUGAUUAGCUAGUUGGUGAGAUAAAAGCUCACCAAGGCAACGAUCAGUAGCCGGCUUGAGAGAGUGUACGGCCACAUUGGGACUGAGACACGGCCCAGACUCCUACGGGAGGCAGCAGUGGGGAAUUUUGCACAAUGGGGGAAACCCUGAUGCAGCGACGCCGCGUGAUUUAGAAGGCCUUCGGGUUGUAAAAAUCUUUUGUAUAGGAAGAAAAUGACAGUACUAUACGAAUAAGGUCCGGCUAAUUACGUGCCAGCAGCCGCGGUAAUACGUAAGGACCGAGCGUUGUCCGGAAUCAUUGGGCGUAAAGGGUACGUAGGCGGCUAGAAAAGUUAGAAGUCAAAGGCUAUAGCUCAACUAUAGUAAGCUUCUAAAACUAUUUAGCUUGAGAAAUGGAAGGGAAAGUGGAAUUCCUAGUGUAGCGGUGGAAUGCGCAGAUAUUAGGAAGAAUACCGGUGGCGAAGGCGACUUUCUGGCCAUUAUCUGACGCUGAGGUACGAAAGCGUGGGUAGCAAACAGGAUUAGAUACCCUGGUAGUCCACGCCGUAAACGAUGAGUGUUAGGUGUCUGGAGUAGUGGAGGUCGCUAGAUGGUC
rnacentral:rRNA from 1 species